rnacentral:lncRNA from 1 species
UGAUGACGUGUCUUAUCAGAUUUGCAUGGGACUUGUGUCACCCUUUCAGUCUCCACAACUGUUUGUAGUACUGGAAGUGGUUCUACUGGCGGUUCAAUGCUCUCUUGUGGUGCUUGAGUUUUCUCAAGUCGCACUGUACUCCCACUGAAUCUCUGAGAGAUAAAUUCCUUUUCUAAAAAGGUACCAUUUCGAGCAACAAACACUUUG